GAGAACGCAUAGCUGCAGCUUGCUACCAAUGACGAAGAUAUCGGCCGUUUGCAAAAUCUCAAAACCAGAAGGGAUAAAUAAGAUAAUACUGUCUUCAAGCAGUAGCUAUAAGAACAAAUACUACCUCCGUUCCAUAAAGAUUGGCACGGCUUUGAACUGAGUUAGUUCAAAUCCGUGCCAACCUUUAUGACACGGAGGGAGUAGUAUAUAUGCGGUAGCAUAUAAGAGUCAAUAAUAGAGAGUAUUCUGUGGAAACC
rnacentral:lncRNA from 1 species